UAGGAAUCUUCCACAAUGGGCGAAAGCCUGAUGGAGCAACGCCGCGUGUGUGAUGAAGGGUUUCGGCUCGUAAAACACUGUUGUAAGAGAAGAAUGACAUUGAGAGUAACUGUUCAAUGUGUGACGGUAUCUUACCAGAAAGGAACGGCUAAAUACGUGCCAG
rnacentral:rRNA from 1 species